rnacentral:rRNA from 1 species
UGAGGAAUAUUGCGCAAUGGGCGAAAGCCUGACGCAGCGACGUCGUGUGAGUGAUGAAGUCUUUCGGGAUGUAAAACUCUGUCAGGGGGGACGACAUUGACGGUACCCCCAAAGGAAGGCCCGGCUAACUACGUGCCAGCAGCCGCGGUAAUACGUAGGGGCCAAGCGUUGUCCGGAAUUAUUGGGCGUAAAGGGUGUGCAGGUGGUGGAUCAAGUCAGGCGUAAAAGGCGUGGGCUCAACUCACGUUUCGCGUUUGAUACUGUUCCACUAGAGAGCAGUAGAAGGAAGCGGAACUUCCGGUGUAGCGGUGAAAUGCGUAGAUAUCGGAAGGAACACCAGUGGCGAAGGCGGCUUCCUAGCCUGUUUCUGACGCUGAGACACGAAAGCUAGGGGAGCAAACGGG